rnacentral:lncRNA from 1 species
UACAUUUCAUACGAAGCCUCUGUUUAAAAACGAUCAUAUUGGACCUUGGCUGAAAGCAUCAAAGGGAAAGAAAAAUGGGCGCAUUCUGGGAUUUAGAGUUGGCAAUGACUCUAUGUUAUCAAAUAAGAGGAGAAAGAAAAUGAGCAAUGAGGAAACUGAGAAGCACAACACUGAAGAAUUUGAAUUGACAGUUUCCAAAGCCGUUGAAAAACGAAUGGAAGCGUUCG